UACAGAGGGUGCAAGCGUUAAUCGGAUUUACUGGGCGUAAAGCGCGCGUAGGCGGCUAAUUAAGUCAAAUGUGAAAUCCCCGAGCUUAACUUGGGAAUUGCAUUCGAUACUGGUUAGCUAGAGUGUGGGAGAGGAUGGUAGAAUUCCAGGUGUAGCGGUGAAAAUGCGUAGAGAUCUGGAGGAAUACCGAUGGCGAAGGCAGCCAUCUGGCCUAACACUGACGCUGAGGUGCGAAAGCAUGGGGGAGCAAACAGGG
rnacentral:rRNA from 1 species